GAUGAACGCUGACAGAAUGCUUAACACAUGCAAGUCAACUUGAAUAUGGGUUUUUUCACUUAGAUUUGGGUGGCGGACGGGUGAGUAACGCUUAAAGAACUUGUCUCACAGCUAGGGACAACAUGUGAAAACGAAUGCUAAUACCUGAUAUUAUGAGUAUAAGGCAUCUUAGUAUUAUGAAAGCUAUAUGCGCUGUGAGAGAGCGUUGCGUCACAUUAGCUAGUUGGAGAGGUAACGGCACACCAAGGAGAUGAUGGGUAGCCGGCCUGAGAGGGUGAACGGCCACAAGGGGACUGAGACACGGCCCUUACUCCUACGGGAGGCAGCAGUGGGGAAUAUUGGACAAUGGACCAAGAGUCUGAUCCAGCAAUUCUGUGUGCACGAUGACGUUUGUCGGAAUGUAAAGUGCUUUCAGUUGGGAAGAAAAAAAUGACGUUACCAACAGAAGAAGUGACGGCUAAAUACGUG
rnacentral:rRNA from 1 species